rnacentral:RNase_P_RNA from 3 species
AGAGUGAGCGCAGGCGAUUACGGACUCGAUAAGAGUCUGAGGAAAGUCCGGGCUCCCGAAAGGCCAAACUUGCUGGAUAACUCCCAGUACGAGCGAUCGUGAGGAUAGUGCCACAGAAAAAUACCGCCUUUGACAGUCAGUAGAGACGCUUCAUUGCAGUCUGUACACAGUAAACAGUGAAUCUUUGGAUAACUGAUAACUGAUAACUGAUAACUGAAAAGGGUAAGGGUGCAAAGGUGCGGUAAGAGCGCACCAGCAACGUCGUGAGGCGUUGGCUCGGUAAACCCCGGUUGGGAGCAAGGUCGGAGGAACUAGGGUUGGUCUUUUUCCCGUUCCGCUCAAUAGUGGUACCGCUAGAGGUGUCUGGUAACAGACAUCCCAGAUAGAUAAUUGCCAUCCUAUCGCUGGUUUCAGCAAUAGGAUAACAGAACCCGGCUUAUGUCUAACUCUUUCC